GCUGCUAUAUAAGUGGCUGCGCGCAAUUGGAUCUUCCUUUUGGCGCCGGGAUUGAGCGAGGCUUUUUGAAUGGAUGCCGAAUCUAGUGUUCCUGUGCCAAAUCCUGGGAUGCAAGAUGUUUCAGGCCAUAUGUUGCGAUAAACAUUUGUAUCCAGUGUGACAAUGCUGACUUCUUGGGUCAGAUGGGUUGGCUUAGGCCAGAUGUUGCCAUAGACAUUUGUAUCCAGUGUGACAAUGCUGACAUCUUGGGUCAGAUGGGUCGGUUGAAGCAAUUUCAGAAUCUUGAAGAUGGAGGUCCAGGAGCCACAAUGAUUUGCAAAUCUAACUGAAGAUGCUGCAAGUGCCAUGAGUCAGGCGUUACCCAGGUUCAGAAUGCGCUUAUGGCUUGAAAUAGUGGUGAUGGGACGUGAGGUUGCAAUUAAGGAUUUGGUAUUUUUCCACCUGCAGGAUUUGAAGAACUGAGGUUUAUCAAUGAAGAUACUCCCACAUCCAUGACAAAGAGUUUGUGGAAAAAGUUGCUUUUUGAUGCUGUAAAGUGUACUUUUUUAAUAAAUUUUUUACAUAAGUGA